AACGAACGCUGGCGGCAUGCCUAACACAUGCAAGUCGAACGAGACCUUCGGGUCUAGUGGCGCACGGGUGCGUAACGCGUGGGAACCUGCCCUUAGGUUCGGAAUAACUCCCCGAAAGGGGUGCUAAUACCGGAUAAUGUCUUCGGACCAAAGAUUUAUCGCUAUUGGAUGGGCCCGCGUUGGAUUAGCUAGUUGGUAGGGUAAAAGCCUACCAAGGCGACGAUCCAUAGCUGGUCUGAGAGGAUGAUCAGCCACACUGGGACUGAGACACGGCCCAGACUCCUACGGGAGGCAGCAGUGGGGAAUAUUGGACAAUGGGCGAAAGCCUGAUCCAGCAAUGCCGCGUGAGUGAUGAAGGCCUUAGGGUUGUAAAGCUCUUUUACCCGGGAUGAUAAUGACAGUACCGGGAGAAUAAGCUCCGGCUAACUCCGUG
rnacentral:rRNA from 1 species